rnacentral:rRNA from 1 species
AUUGAACGCUGGCGGCAGGCCUAACACAUGCAAGUCGAGCGAGCGGCGGACGGGUGAGUAAUGUCUGGGAAACUGCCUGAUGGAGGGGGAUAACUACUGGAAACGGUAGCUAAUACCGCAUACCAUCAAAUGUGCCCAGAUGGGAUUAGCUAGUAGGUGGGGUAACGGCUCACCUAGGCGACGUGCCCUAGCUGGUCUGAGUGGAAGACCAGCCACCCUGGAACUGAGAAACGGUCCAGACUCCUACGGGAGGCAGCAGUGGGGAAUAUUGCACAAUGGGUGCAAGCCUGAUGCAGCCAUGCCGCGUGUGUGAAGAAGGCCGUCGGGUUGUAAAGCACUUGCAGCGGGGAGGCGUUACCCGCAGAAGAAGCACCGGCUAACUCCGUGCCAGCAGCCGCGGUAAUGC